rnacentral:lncRNA from 1 species
AGUCCCAAAAAGCAUUCUGUGCGAAGCACUUAACGCCAAAAGUGAACAAAACAACACUUGCUCUAUUAACACGCCACACUGUCUGAAGGCAGUCGGCUUAACGAGAAACAAGAAUAUCCUACGUGUGGCUAAUUUGCGGUUAAGGAAGGCCCCAUGAUAUAUAAAGCCAAAAAAUAAAGCAAAACCGCAGCAGUUCAUUCAAAUUUUUUGUGGCCAAAACAAAUAUUAAGAUAAAAGUCAGUGGGGACUAUAAUUUGAGUUAUUCAAAUGCAAUAAAUCCGCGGAACCAAACGAGUUGCUAAUUUUACGUUAGACGCCCUUUAAUUUCACGCUGCCAUUUGUGGCUUCCGUUUCGUAUAAGUUUGGGUCGAUGAUUUUUAGAAUUUGCAUUUUCAAUUUGAAUAUAAAAAACCGCCGCUGCAGGUUUGCAGCUUUUAAAGUGAUCCGCAAUCUCAUUCCUAGUCAGUCGAAAAAAGGUGAGAAUUGACAAAUUUCCAUUUCGUCAAUUCGAACAAUAAAGCUAAAACUAUAACGAAACUCCUUAAAUAAAAAAAACCAAGAAAAAACGAGUGGCCAAGGCCACUCAAAACCGCUUUCAAUUAAAGUGGAGCACACUUUUGCUUGUGGUCGGGCGCAAGCUCAUCAUCACGAUCAUUGUCGUCAUAAUCAUUAUAAGCUGAUGCCUCAGGAGUGAAAACGUUGUUGCCCCAGGCGGUGUAUCCAAACGUCCCCAACUCAGCCCGCUUAUGACCCCAGAAACAAAAAGUUCCAUUACCGAAUGACAUUUAUGAAGAAAUUGUGCAUAUUAAAUUGGGAUAUUGAUAAGUGAUAUCAUUGUUCCCAAGAAGUGAACGUCUAAACACAAAGGCAGACGGAUGAACAUUGCUAAAUGGACAGGCUUUCUUCUACCUCUUACAUACUUCUCAACGAAUCACAUAUACACUAUACUAUAAUGUGUUCACAAAAUACCAAAAAUGAUCAAGGUCUACACUCUAACGAUGUGCUGAAGUAGCUGCGCCGCAGAAAGAUAAAGCCUAAUGUGGAAAUACAAAUGUAAUUGCUUGCAGUUAAUUGACCCACAUACGAUUUCUAGCCAAGUCAAUGUCAAGUGUUGCUUCGGCUGACUUACUACAAAAGUUAAUUGCACUGCACGCACAUGCCAAAAGGUAAAAAGAGUCGCGAGCCUCGGCGACAGGCUUCCAAAACCCUGUAUAUCCACAUCACCAGACCUCAGGACCUCAACUUACGACUCUGGCUACGAGGCGCGUGUGUGCAAUAUCAGGUUUCCGCAUCGACUUGCAUAGUGAUUCGAGGAUGUGCGAAAAUAUGAUUUAAAUUAAGGGAUCAUCAGUUUGCAACAGACUAUUUGUAUACCUUCCUUUUAGAAUAUAUAUAUAUUUUUUAUAGAAAUAUGUAAUACUAGUUAAGUCUUCUAAAGGAAAUACAUUUUUACACGUU